UCCGGUGGCUAUAGCGGAAAGGAAACACCCGUUCCCAUCCCGAACACGGAAGUUAAGCUCUCCAGCGCCGAUGGUACUGCAGGUUUCCUGUGGGAGAGUAGGACGCUGCCGGGA
rnacentral:rRNA from 1 species